GGGGAUUUAGCUCAGUUGGUAGAGUGCUUGCCUUGCAUGCACAAGUCCCUAUGUUCAAUCCCCA
rnacentral:tRNA from 1 species